UCCCUGAUGGCUCAGAUGGUAAAGAGUCUGCCUGCAAUGUAGGAGACCCAGGUUCCAUCCCUGGAUGGGGAA
rfam:Ovis aries breed Texel chromosome 10, whole genome shotgun sequence.